UUCUCCCAGAAGAGAAGGGAGAGCACAUGCCCAGGCUCCAUGGACUUCCGGUUCUCCCCUCCCUUCGCACCCCCACAAUGAGGUCACGACGGGAUGCCACCACCAGCUGGUCCCUUCCAGAGCUCUGUCUGAACUCCACCAGCCUUGCUUCUGGCCUCAUCCUGCAGACCCAGGGGACACCUCCACUUGCAAGUUCAGUCCAUGGGCACUGCACACUCUCUCGGCCCCAAGUUGAACCCCUUUUCCUCACCCAACAUCCUCCAUUUCAACAAAUGGCAGCGUUGUGGGUAAAAUAACACCUCCUUCAGAGACAUUGACAUCCUCAUCCCUGACUUCGG
rnacentral:lncRNA from 1 species